AAGGAGUCUAACAUAUAUGCGAGUGUGUGAGUGGAGAAACUCAUACGCGGAAUGAAAGGAAAAGGUGCGCAGCGCAAGCAACAGGAUCGACCGACCUAGCAAAAAAGGUUUGAGUGCGAGCAUAUCUGUUAGGACCCGAAAGAUGGUGAACUAUGCCUGAGUAGGGUGAAGUCAGGGGAAACCCUGAUGGAGGCUCGCAGCGUUGUUGACGUGCAAAUCACUCGUCAAACUUGGGUAUAGGGGCGAAAGACUAAUCGAACCAUCUAGUAGCUGGUUCCCUC
rnacentral:misc_RNA from 1 species